rnacentral:rRNA from 1 species
AGGACGAACGCUGGCGGCGUGCCUAAUACAUGCAAGUCGAACGGUCUUUCUAUGGAAGCUUGCUCCACUGAAAAGAUAGUGGCGAACGGGUGAGUAACACGUGGGUAACCUGCCCAUAAGAGGGGGGAUAACAUCCGGAAACGGGUGCUAAUACCGCAUAGUUUUCUUGAUCGCAUGAUCGGGAAAGGAAAGACGGCCUUUGUGCUGUCGCUUAUGGAUGGACCCGCGGCGUAUUAGUUAGUUGGUGAGGUAACGGCUCACCAAGACGAUGAUACGUAGCCGACCUGAGAGGGUGAUCGGCCACAUUGGGACUGAGACACGGCCCAAACUCCUACGGGAGGCAGCAGUAGGGAAUCUUCCGCAAUGGACGAAAGUCUGACGGAGCAACGCCGCGUGAGUGAAAGAAGGUUUUCGGAUCGUAAAACUCUGUUGUCAGAGAAGAACAAGUUGGAGAGUAACUGCUCCAGCCUUGACGGUAUCUGACCAGAAAGCCACGGCUAACUACGUGCCAGCCGCCGC